UGGGGAAUAUUGGACAAUGGGCGCAAGCCUGAUCCAGCAGUGCCGCGUGUGUGAAGAAGGCCUUCGGGUUGUAAAGCACUUUUAUCAGGAGCGAAACGCUGUCGGCUAAUACCCGGCGGAACUGACGGUACCUGAGGAAUAAGCACCGGCUAACUUCGUGCCAGCAGCCGCGGUAAUACGAAGGGUGCAAGCGUUAAUCGGAAUUACUGGGCGUAAAGCGUGCGUAGGCGGUUUCUUAAGUCUGCUGUGAAAUCCCCGGGCUCAACCUGGGAAUGGCAGUGGAUACUGGGAGGCUAGAGUGUGUCAGAGGGUGGUGGAAUUCCCGGUGUAGCGGUGAAAUGCGUAGAGAUCGGGAGGAACAUCAGUGGCGAAGGCGGCCACCUGGGACAACACUGACGCUGAGGCACGAAAAGCGUGGGGAGCAAACAGGAUUAGAUACCCUGGUAGUCCACGCCCUAAAAGCGAUGCGAACUGGAUGUUGGUCUCAACUCGGAGAUCAGUGUCGAAGCUAACGCGUUAAGUUCGCCGCCUGGGGAGUACGGUCGCAAGACUGAAACUUAAAUGAAUUGACGGGGUCAUAGCUGUUUCC
rnacentral:rRNA from 1 species